rnacentral:tRNA from 1 species
AUUUAUAUAGUUUAGAAAAACAUUACACUUUCACUGUAAAAACAAAGACACACUUUUAUAAAUA